rnacentral:rRNA from 1 species
UUGAACGCUGGCGGCAGGCUUAACACAUGCAAGUCGAGCGGGGGAAGGUAGCUUGCUACCGGACCUAGCGGCGGACGGGUGAGUAAUGCUUAGGAAUCUGCCUAUUAGUGGGGGACAACAUCUCGAAAGGGAUGCUAAUACCGCAUACGUCCUACGGGAGAAAGCAGGGGAUCUUCGGACCUUGCGCUAAUAGAUGAGCCUAAGUCGGAUUAGCUAGUUGGUGGGGUAAAGGCCUACCAAGGCGACGAUCUGUAGCGGGUCUGAGAGGAUGAUCCGCCACACUGGGACUGAGACACGGCCCAGACUCCUACGGGAGGCAGCAGUGGGGAAUAUUGGACAAUGGGGGGAACCCUGAUCCAGCCAUGCCGCGUGUGUGAAGAAGGCCUUAUGGUUGUAAAGCACUUUAAGCGAGGAGGAGGCUACUUUAGUUAAUACCUAGAGAUAGUGGACGUUACUCGCAGAAUAAGCACCGGCUAACUCUGUGCCAGCAGCCGCGGUAAUACAGAGGGUGCGAGCGUUAAUCGGAUUUACUGGGCGUAAAGCGUGCGUAGGCGGCUUAUUAAGUCGGAUGUGAAAUCCCCGAGCUUAACUUGGGAAUUGCAUUCGAUACUGGUGAGCUAGAGUAUGGGAGAGGAUGGUAGAAUUCCAGGUGUAGCGGUGAAAUGCGUAGAGAUCUGGAGGAAUACCGAUGGCGAAGGCAGCCAUCUGGCCUAAUACUGACGCUGAGGUACGAAAGCAUGGGGAGCAAACAGGAUUAGAUACCCUGGUAGUCCAUGCCGUAAACGAUGUCUACUAGCCGUU